GAGGGAAAGUUGCAAAGAACUUUGAAGAGAGAGUUCAAGAGGGCGUGAAACCGUUUAGAGGGAAACAGGUAGAGCCGAUGAAAGCAGGUGGCAUUCAGCCUGAGUCAGAAGACAAAGGUGUAUUUGCCGCCUGUGGCGCUAGGUGGAAUGGUGUCUACAGUUUAGCGUGGUAAAGAGGGCCGCUUCGGCGGUAUCCCUUGCCUAGCGACGCUGUUAGGUGCUAUUUGUCUGCACGUCCACUGGAAACAGUGCUUGCUUACGUUACCUUGUUGGCCUGACUUCAGUCGAGCUUGCUCGUCUGUUGUUGAGUAUUACGACGAGGAGGUGUAUAGGAAGCAGUGGCGUUGCAAUCCUGGCGAAAAAGUCGGCUACCUUCCUGACCCGUCUUGAAACACGGACCAAGGAGUCUAACAUGUGCGCGAGCUGAAAGGUGGUAAACCUGUAUAGCGCAAUGAAGGUAAAGGUCAGUUAAACUGGCUGUUAUGGGACCUUCCACCGCGGUGGUUGGGCACCAUAGUCCCGUCGCGUCUGCAUGUCAGUGCGGCGGAGACAGAGCGUACACGUUGGGACCCGAAAGAUGGUGAACUAUGCCUGAGCAGGAUGAAGCCAGGGGAAACUCUGGUGGAGGUCCGAAGCGGUUCUGACGUGCAAAUCGAUCGUCAGACUUGGGUAUAGGGGCGAAAGACUAAUCGAACCAUCUAGUA
rnacentral:rRNA from 1 species